GGAGCUUGCUCCCUGAUGUUAGCGGCGGACGGGUGAGUAACACGUGGGUAACCUGCCUGUAAGACUGGGAUAACUCCGGGAAACCGGAGCUAAUACCGGAUGCUUCCUUGAACCGCAUGGUUCAAACAUGAAAGACGGUUUCGGCUGCCACUUACAGAUGGACCCGCGGCGCAUUAGCUAGUUGGUGGGGUAAUGGCUCACCAAGGCGACGAUGCGUAGCCGACCUGAGAGGGUGAUCGGCCACACUGGGACUGAGACACGGCCCAGACUCCUACGGGAGGCAGCAGUAGGGAAUCUUCCGCAAUGGACGAAAGUCUGACGGAGCAACGCCGCGUGAGUGAUGAAGGUUUUCGGAUCGUAAAGCUCUGUUGUUAGGGAAGAACAAGUGCCAGAGUAACUGCGCGCACCUUGACGG
rnacentral:rRNA from 1 species